rnacentral:rRNA from 1 species
AGCUCCAAUAGCGUAUAUUAAAGUUGCUGCAGUUAAAAAGCUCGUAGUUGCAUUUCCGAGGCAAGGGAUUAGUCCGACCUUUGGUGGGUAUUUAAUCCUCUUGCCUCGUCCUUGAGUGGUGCUUCUUGGUAUUAAGUUAUCGAGGAGAUAGCCGCUCAUCGUUUACUGUGAGAAAAUUAGAGUGUUCAAAGCAGGCUUAUGCCGUUGAAUAUAUUAGCAUGGAAUAAUAAGAUAGGACUUCGGUACUAUUUUGUUGGUUUGAGAACCAAGGUAAUGAUGAAUAGGGACAGUUGGGGGUAUUCGUAUUCAGUUGUCAGAGGUGAAAUUCUUAGAUUUACGGAAGACGAACUACUGCGAAAGCAUUUACCAAGGAUGUUUGCA